rnacentral:lncRNA from 1 species
AGGGUUAGGAAGCCCCCAUCUAUAGAAAACGUGCCGUGUACAACGUGAAAUCAAUUCCCAUGCACAACAAUGAAGAUCCCAAUUACAAUGAACAAACACGUUCUUCUGAACAGAACUUCCUCCCUGACAUUAUGUCCAUGACCCUGCACCCUGCGGGGGGCUCGGAUAUGUUACGUCUGAUUCAAAGACAACCAAAAAGAAGGAAAUAAUGAUUUCACCAAGAAAGGACACAUACCAAGGCAGGAAUAGACAUUAAGUUUUGCAAAAUUAAAUGACUACAUUUACAGUCAUGGAGGAGAGACAUUGCCUCAACUCGGUUUCUUCUGAUGUGUCUUUGAAACAGAGCCCUGCAAAGCUAAUCUGCUCAACCUUCACCUACUGGGUUCAAUGAAUAUGAAAAGCUGCCUUCCUGAAACUUUUCCUUCAAAGAGGGAAUGAUCUCCUGGAAUUCAAGCUUCUACAAGGUGGCUACCUGGUGUUUUCCACUUUUGCCGUCUCCUAAAAAGCAUCAUUCAAGCCUUGCCCUUUCAACCCACUGAACACAUAAACAUGCUUUCUCCUUAACUGAACUUAUGGCCACGAUGAACUUGAACUCUGAGAUUCACAGAGGAGAGUUUGUUUUAACAGCUGCUUUUACAAUGAAGCCCUGGAGUUACUACUCUCAAGACCCCUGGUUCUGAUAGGCCAUCUUUUCACUGUCCUCUGCAUUUUCUAAUGCCCAGCUGUCAAGGAACAC